GAACCAUCAUUGUUACAUAUACUAAAAUUAGAACGAUACAGAGAAGACUAGCAUGGCCCCUGUGCAAGGAUGACAUGCAAAUAAAAAAAAAUAAAAAAAAUAAA